rnacentral:rRNA from 1 species
UACGUAGGGGGCAAGCGUUGUCCGGAAUCAUUGGGCGUAAAGCGCGUGUAGGCGGCUCGAUAAGUCUGCUGUGAAAGUUCAGGGCUCAACCCUGAAAUGCCGGUGGAAACUGUCGAGCUAGAGUCCGGAAGAGGCGAGUGGAAUUCCUGGUGUAGCGGUGAAAUGCGUAGAUAUCAGGAGGAACACCGGUGGCGAAGGCGGCUCUCUGGACCAUAACUGACGCUGAGACGCGAAAGCUAGGGGAGCAAACAGG